rnacentral:tRNA from 1 species
GCCCUCGUGGAGUAGUCCGGAUCAACUCACCCCACUCUCCAUGGGGAGACCGCGGGUUCAAAUCCCGCCGAGGGUACGA